GCUUACGGCCAUACCACGUUGGAAGCAUGCCAUCCCGUCCGAUCUGGCAAGUUAAGCAACGUUGGGCCUGGUUAGUACUUGGAUCGGAGACGGCUUGG
rnacentral:rRNA from 1 species